rnacentral:lncRNA from 1 species
CACAAAUUUUGAAAAGUAUAUUUUUGCUAUCAUAAACUUCCAGGAAUGGAAGUAAUGGAAUGGAAAUAAAAUACAUCACAGAUUUUUUAUUUAUUUUUUUGGUCUUAUAGAAAGAGGGCAAAAUCCUAAAAAAGUGAAGAAAUCUGAAAGAGCAUGGAUUUCUAUUUUUUCAUCAGAGCCCACUACAAUGAGAACUUCUCCAACAUCACUGAAGAUACGGGUGGACAAAAAAAUUGCUGGAAAUAGUCACCUGAUAGAAAACAAAUUUAUGGAGACCACUAAAACAAACAAUGGUGGUGUUUCUGAUGAAGACAGAUGUCAAGAUGGUUUUACUGAGGCAGAUUUAGCAACAAAUAACAUGGAUCUUCUCAACAAUGAGCAGGAAGAAUUUGAUGAAAGUCUACGAGAUGUUUUGAAAUGGAUUAGGCCUCUUCCUCCUCUACUGUCACCCAUACAGUUUUCACCUGUUACUACUCCGGACAGUUUAUUUGGAGAUAUCACAGACUCCAGUGAUGAUGAAAUGGAGCAGAAUGCGCAAACACUUGAAAAUAUUAUAGAAGAAUAUGAUGAGGACAAACCAGCAUCUAAAACUUUGCAUUUGACAGAAUUUUGCUCACAAGUUUUAAAACACAGCAGUGUAAAGACUCAUCUACAGGAAUCACAUGAAAGAUCCAAAAAAUUAGAAAACGAAAAAUUGAUGUUGUCAUCUGAUUCUAUGCUCAGAGCAUCAGAAUACCUUCAUGAGAACAAUACUACAAAGAAGGUAGAAAAACACCUGAAAGAAGAUUCUGACUUUGAACAAAUACACACAGCCCCUGAAACAAUAUCUCCCAGUACAGAGAAACUCUGUGAAAAAAUGAUUAGCAAAACAGAAACAAAAAGUCGAAUCUUCAUUGGACAUGUAUUGGAAGAGACUAAUGAUUUCAUUGAAAAGGAGGAAAAGAAGAGGUUAAUUGAAACAAAAGAAGAUGGUUGGGGUCAAGGACCCAAAGGCAGUGAAGAACAGCAAACCAAAGAACCUAUUUUAACUGCUGAAAACAUACCAGUGAUUUGUAAAAAUGUGAAGGAUCCUUCUAAUUAUAAAGAAGGAAGAGUGAGGGAAAACGUUUUUGAGGACCACCAGACAGAAUCUUACUCAGAAAAAGCAAGCCUACUUUGUGAAAAGCACAUUGAACAUAUAGCAGUAAAAGGACAAUAUGCAGCAGCUCAAAGAAAUAAUGACCCAUUAAUAGAGGGGGAAAAGAAUAUCAGUAAUUGUGAAUUCCUCCCUGAAACAAAUCUUAGUGAAAGAGUUGAGCAACCGGGUGCCAGCAUAACAUGUACAGAAUUUAUCGAAAAGAAUAUUAAUUCUUUGGAUGCAUCUAACAAACCUCAUUCUGUAGUGAAGAUAUGCAACCAACAAAAUGGAAGUGAGGUAAAUGGAAAGAAGCAAGCUGAUAUUGUAACAUUAACUGAGGGUUUGAAGCAAUCUUAUCAUAGCGGCGAAAUAAUUGAGGCCAUGAAUGAUAGGUCGAGGAAAAAUGUGUGUGAUGGAGCUAGUGAAGGGACAAAGUUAGAAGAUACACCAAAGGAAGAACACCUACAGUUAGAACGGUUACUUGAUGAAAAAAUGUAUAUUAAAUCAACACAAGAGGAAUUAACUUGCAAAAGUAGUACCAACAAGUUACCAACCCAAACAUCUACUGCUAAAGACUCUUUGUUGAAAUCUGAGGGACUUACUGAAAUAAGUCAAGUAUCCCUUAAAUUACACCAUGUCACUGAAAAUGCUUCUCAAGUGGGACAAGUUGAAAAUGCAAACAUUACACCCAAAAACAUGUGCAAAGUAGAAAGAAUUGGGAUUAGUUUAAAUAGUCACAUGGAAGACUUAAAUCCACUAAGAAAAAGGCUUAUGAAGAUAAAUUGUGAAUCAAGAAAACUCACUGAAGUGGAAACUAUACAAUCUCUUAAAGCAGGAUUAAGUGAAAAAGACUCACCUGGUUUGAUGCAUGGACAUUUACAAAUUGAAAAAAAUAGCUCAAUGGUCAUAAAUGAACUACCUGAUACAAAAAAGUAUGCCAUGGAAGAAAAGGGGCUGAAUUAUGAUUAUUCUGUAUCAAAUGAAGUAGCUUCAGCACAGAACAUGAGCAAUGAUACAGUUCAACCAAUGCAAAAUAUAUCACAGAGAAAAAAUGAAGAAAUUGAAUCAGCCUUGUCUGUUGUUAUGACAAGUGAUUCUGAGGCAAAAAUAGAAUCUAUGGAUGUUGAUU